ensembl:lncRNA
GGUCCCGUCCUGUCCCAGGAUCUUGAUUCUGUGCUGUAAGUGGUCAUGCCGUGGCCUCUGCUCUUGUCUUAAUUGGGGCUUUUCGUUGGAAGUGACAGAAACCCAAUGUGAAGGAGCCUCUGCCAGGGGCACAUGAGGUGAUAGGACGUGCACGAGUGCAUCUAGGGGACAGGCACAGUGUCACCCUCUGCUUCCUGGCCCUGCCUCUCUCUCGAGCUGGGCAUGUUCUCUGUUAUGGACAAGAUGUCUCCUCAGGGUGGGGAUGCAAGGCUGCCUUCCCACACCCCACGGCCCGGGAUGGGCCACUUCUCUGCCCAGCUCUGGUCCCCGAGCUUCCUGGGGAGGGUUCUGUGUGACUCCACCUGGGUUGGAAGCUCUGAUGAGGGUGACAUGGUCACACGGAGCAGUUGUGGCUGCGAGGGGCCAACCCUGAGCCUCAGAGGAGGGGUGACCGUGGUGCCUGGUCUGCUGUCCCUGUGGGGACCUGGUAGUGUCCCCACGGCUGUGUGCCACGUGCGCAGGAGUCUUGCCGGUCGGAAGGAAGGCCAGCAGCCACGGUGUGACUUCUGGAUUGAUGGGUUAGGGAAGGCCUGAGCUUCAUCUCCAGGGGAAGGAACCGCCCUGCCAUGGGCUUUGUGGGGUCCCACGACUCCAGGUUUUACAGUCUCUCCUCACAAGCCCUGGGGAUGACAGCUCGUGGACGGUCUAGAGUGGGGGCGUGAGACAGUCCGGCUCAGACGAGCAGAGCCGUCUACUGGGUGUCCCCCUGGCACACGGGGCCUCCUGAUGCCCUCGGAGCAGGAGAGGCCUGUGGCUAGCUGUCUCUAGGGCGGUUGGCAGGAAGGGCCAGGUCAGGGUCACGUGCUUAAUCUGGGGGUCGCAGCUCCCAGUUGGAACUGAUGGUAACGUAGCCUUGCCACCGGUGGUCUGUAUUGUAGGAAGCAGCAGCUGCUCCUGAAGUUCACUCCGUCCUCUGCCCCUCAGGAGCCAUCUUGGCCCGGGCCAGUCCCCUGCAUCUCAGUCGGCCCGGCUGCCGUAGCAGAAUCCCAGACUGCGCCCACAUGGCAGGCCUUGAUUUCUCACCGUUCUGGAGGCUGGAAGUCCAAGGCCCCACCUCCCGUGCCGUCCCACCAGGGACCAGGGCCUCGCCGUGUGGAUGUGGGGCAUCCGUUCACAGCACACGGGCAGCAGAAGUUAAGAGCUCCCCUUAGAAACUGGAAUCUGAGGUCAGUCUGUGGGUCAGGAACACCAGCCUCAGGCCUCUGCGCCUCCCACUUGCCUCCAGGCCCCCCGCCUUGCUGGGUGCGGGCUGCUGCUGGGCUCUGGGGGCUGGCUCGGGCUCUUUGGCGGAAGUGGGAGCAGCGGGCUUUGCUUUCAUCUGGCAGGCAGCACUCCCACCGCCGCUUGAUCGAGCCCUUGAUCCUGCUGAUGGAAAGGUGGACAAAAUCUGCAUUUUGACAAAUGUUCUCAUGGGGGUGUGUGUGUGCAUGAGUGUGCACACCCGGGCCCUGGAUAAGGAUGCUAGAAACUUCCCACCCUUUCCUCCUACCCAUCCGCCAGGCUGGGCCCGGAGGAGGGAAGGGCAGCCUGUUGGAG